rnacentral:rRNA from 1 species
AGCGAACGCUGGCGGCAGGCCUAACACAUGCAAGUCGAACGGUCCUUCGGGACAGUGGCGGACGGGUGAGUAACACGUGGGAACGUGCCCAAAGGUUCGGAAUAGCUCCGGGAAACUAGGAAUUAAUACCGGAUGUGCCCCGUCGGGGGAAAGAUUUAUCGCCUUUGGAGCGGCCCGCGUCUGAUUAGCUAGUUGGUGAGGUAAAGGCUCACCAAGGCUACGAUCAGUAGCUGGUCUGAGAGGANGAUCAGCCACAUUGGGACUGAGACACCGGACCCAAACUCCUACGGGAGGCAGCAGUGGGGAA